rnacentral:rRNA from 1 species
GUAGUCCACGCCCUAAACGAUGUCAACUGGUUGUCGGGCCUUCAUUGGCUUGGUAACGUAGCUAACGCGUGAAGUUGACCGCCUGGGGAGUACGGUCGCAAGAUUAAAACUCAAAGGAAUUGACGGGGACCCGCACAAGCGGUGGAUGAUGUGGAUUAAUUCGAUGCAACGCGAAAAACCUUACCUACCCUUGACAUGGACGGAAGCUGGCCGAGAGGCCGGGGUGCCCGAAAGGGAGCCGUCACACAGGUGCUGCAUGGCUGUCGUCAGCUCGUGUCGUGAGAUGUUGGGUUAAGUCCCGCAACGAGCGCAACCCUUGUCCCUAGUUGCUACGCAAGAGCACUCCAGGGAGACUGCCGGUGACAAACCGGAGGAAGGUGGGGAUGACGUCAAGUCCGCAUGGCCCUUAUGGGCUGGGCCACACACGUGCUACAAUGGCAAUUACAAUGGGAAGCAAGGCUGUAAGGCGGAGCGAAUCCGGAAAGAUUGCCUCAGUUCGGAUUGUUCUCUGCAACUCGGGAACAUGAAGUUGGAAUCGCUAGUAAUCGCGGAUCAGCAUGCCGCGGUGAAUACUGUACCCGGGCCCUGUACACACCGCCGUCACACCCU